GACGAACGCUGGCGGCGUGCCUAAUACAUGCAAGUCGAGCGAGGGUCUUCGGACCCUAGCGGCGGACGGGUGAGUAACACGUAGGCAACCUGCCUCUCAGACCGGGAUAACAUAGGGAAACUUAUGCUAAUACCGGAUAGGUUUUUGGAUUGCAUGAUCCGAAAAGAAAAGAUGGCUUCGGCUAUCACUGGGAGAUGGGCCUGCGGCGCAUUAGCUAGUUGGUGGGGUAACGGCCUACCAAGGCGACGAUGCGUAGCCGACCUGAGAGGGUGACCGGCCACACUGGGACUGAGACACGGCCCAG
rnacentral:rRNA from 1 species